UUUUGGACAAUGGGCGCAAGCCUGAUCCAGCCAUUCCGCGUGAGUGAAGAAGGCCUUCGGGUUGUAAAGCUCUUUCGCAAGGGAAGAAAACUUACUUUUUAAUAAAGAGUGAGGUUGACGGUACCUUGAUAAGAAGCACCGGCUAACUACGUGCCAGCAGCCGCGGUAAUAUGUAGGGUGCGAGCGUUAAUCGGAAUUACUGGGCGUAAAGCGUGCGCAGGCGGCUUUGUAAGUCAGAUGUGAAAUCCCCGAGCUCAACUUGGGAACUGCGUUUGAAACUACAAGGCUAGAAUAUGUCAGAGGGGGGUAGAAUUCCACGUGUAGCAGUGAAAUGCGUAGAGAUGUGGAGGAAUACCAAUGGCGAAGGCAGCCCCCUGGGAUAAUAUUGACGCUCAUGCACGA
rnacentral:rRNA from 1 species